AGUGAACGCUGGCGGUAGGCCUAACACAUGCAAGUCGAACGGCAGCACAGUAAGAGCUUGCUCUUACGGGUGGCGAGUGGCGGACGGGUGAGGAAUACAUCGGAAUCUACUUUUUCGUGGGGGAUAACGUAGGGAAACUUACGCUAAUACCGCAUACGACCUACGGGUGAAAGCAGGGGAUCUUCGGACCUUGCGCGAUUGAAUGAGCCGAUGUCGGAUUAGCUAGUUGGCGGGGUAAGGGCCCACCAAGGCGACGAUCCGUAGCUGGUCUGAGAGGAUGAUAAGCCACACUGGAACUGAGACACGGUCCAGACUCCUACGGGAGGCAGCAGUGGGGAAUAUUGGACAAUGGGCGCAAGCCUGAUCCAGCCAUACCGCGUGGGUGAAGAAGGCCUUCGGGUUGUAAAGCCCUUUUGUUGGGAAAGAAAAGCAGCAGGUUAAUACCCCGCCGUUCUGACGGUACCCAAAGAAUAAGCACCGGCUAACUUCGUG
rnacentral:rRNA from 1 species